GACGGAGGGCGCAAGCGUUGUUCGGAAUUACUGGGCGUAAAGCGCGCGCAGGCGGGAAGGUAAGUCUGGAGUGAAAUUCCGGGGCUCAACUCCGGAGCUGCUUUGGAUACUGUCUUUCUAGGGACCGGUAGAGGCCGGUGGAAUUCCCGGUGUAGCGGUGGAAUGCGUAGAUAUCUGGAGGAACACCGGUGGCGAAGGCGGCAUCCUGGACCAACACUGACGCUGAGUGAGCGAAAGCCAGGGGAGCAAACGGG
rnacentral:rRNA from 1 species